GUUCCUCCUCCCCUUUUUGAACGCAAAUUGCACUCUCCUCGGAGAGUAUGCCUGUUUGAGGGUCAGCCUAUAAAAAAUCGACAUCGUUGCUGUUUAGCGGUGGCGUUCGUCGGAAAUUGGGUCAUCUUAAAUCCUUUUGAUUUAAGCGACUUAAAAUUUUCUCUUGGUUCCAUGAACGUUUCUAAGGUCUAUUUCUUUACACGUUUAAGGUAUCGAUGUUUAUUAGACGUGACCAUCAUAUCGGAACUCGUCCAUAAUCUUUCAUUAACUGACCUCAGAUAGGUAAGAGUACCCGCUGAGG
rnacentral:misc_RNA from 1 species